rnacentral:rRNA from 2 species
AACUGAAUCCAUAGGUUAAUGAGGCGAACCGGGGGAACUGAAACAUCUAAGUACCCCGAGGAAAAGAAAUCAACCGAGAUUCCCCCAGUAGCGGCGAGCGAACGGGGAGGAGCCCAGAGCCUGAAUCAGCAUGUGUGUUAGUGGAAGCGUCUGGAAAGGCGCGCGAUACAGGGUGACAGCCCCGUACACAAAAGCGCAUGUGCUGUGAGCUCGAUGAGUAGGGCGGGACACGUGGUAUCCUGUCUGAAUAUGGGGGGACCAUCCUCCAAGGCUAAAUACUCCUGACUGACCGAUAGUGAACCAGUACCGUGAGGGAAAGGCGAAAAGAACCCCGGCGAGGGGAGUGAAAAAGAACCUGAAACCGUGUACGUACAAGCAGUGGGAGCACCCUUUGGGUGUGACUGCGUACCUUUUGUAUAAUGGGUCAGCGACUUAUAUUCUGUAGCAAGGUUAACCGAAUAGGGGAGC